rnacentral:snRNA from 1 species
AGCUUUGCGCAGAUGAGGUUUAUCUGAGGCACGAUUACUGCUAAUUGAAAACCUUUCCCAAUACCCUGCCAUGACAACUUGAAAUAUAGUCGGUAUUGGCAAUUUUUGACAGUCUCUACAGAGA